rnacentral:lncRNA from 1 species
CAACAGGGAGCACCCAUGGGUCUCCAGUGACACCACCCAUAACGAUAAGCACCCAUGGGUGCCCCAUGGCACCAACAGGGAGCACCCAGGGGUCUGUAAUGAUGGUAUCCACAGCAAGGAGCACCCAUGGGUGCCCCAUAGUACCAACAAGGAGCACCCAGGGGUCUCUAAUCAGCAACGAGCACCCAUGGGUGCCCCAUAGCACCAACCCUGGGGAUGAGCACCCACGGGUGCCCACAGCCUCACCUGUAUCCAGUGAAGGAAGGGACGUACUUCUGGAAAAUGGCCUUAAAGCGCCCAGGGUUGACAGCCUCAGUGGAUUCGGGGUGCCAGAGGGCAGCGAUGACAUCGGCGAAGGCUGCAGGGAUGGUUGGGUGUCAGCAUAGAGGUUCUGGAUGGGAUUUAUCACCUGGGGGGGUGGGGGUGGGGGUGAGGGGGGGCAGCACCCACCCUCAGUGAGCUCCUGUGGGCUGCGGGGUCCGGGCGGCUGCUCUUGUAGGAAUUCCUUCCUCAGGCAGAAAUCCCGUAAAGGUUUGGUGCUGCUCAGGCACUGCAGCACUGCGUUCAUGAAGCACUGUGGGGACAGCAAAGGGAUGAGGUGACACCUCGUUGUCACCAGGGAUGGCACCAAGCAGGGCCUGUGGGGGGGGUGAAAGCCCAAUCCUGCUUUUCCCAGCAUGGAGGGAUGGGAUGGGAUGGGAUGGGAUGGGAUGGGAUGGGAUACAGAGAUGGGGAUGUGGGAUGGGAAUUGUGGGUAUAUGGGAUGUGAGGUCAUGGGGACCACAGGUGUGGGGAUUUGGGAUGUGAGGGGUGGGGAUAUGGGGAUGGGAUGUGAGGUCAUGGGGACCACAGGUGUGGGGGUGUGGGAUGUGAGGUGUGGGGUUGGGAUUUGGGAUGUGAGGUGUGGGGAUACAGAGAUGGGGAUGUGGGAUGUGAGGUGUGGGGUUGGGAUUUGGGAUGUGAGGUGUGGGGAUAUGGGGUUGGGAUGUGGGGUCAUGGGGACAACAGACGUGGGGAUUUGGGGAUGCAAAGGAUGAGGAUGUGGGGUGGUGAGAACCAUGGAUGGGGAUAUGGGGAUGCUGGGCAUGGAGGUGCAGGGAGAGGGAUGUAGACGUGGGGAUGUCACUUGUGGGACUCCAGGCAUGGGGACAGCAGGAGGAUGGGCAUGGAGAUAUGGAAAUGGUGGGCACGGGGAUGUGGGGAUGUUGUGUAUGGGGACAUGGGGAUGGUGGGCACAGGGAUGUUGUGUAUGGGGACACAGGGAUGGUGGGCACAGGGAUAUGGGGAUGUUGUGUAUGGGGACAUGGCGAUGCUGGGCACAGGGAUGUUGUGUAUGGGGACAAGGGGAUGUCAGGCACAGGGAUGUUGUGUAUGGGGACACAGGGAUGGUGGGCAUAGGGACAUGAGGAUGUCAGGCACAGGGAUGUGGGGAUGCUGUGUAUGGGAACACAGGGAUGCUGGGCACAGGGGUGUGGGGAUGUCAGGCACAGGG